ACUUCUCACUUGCAGUCAGAUGUUAAAGCUCGUUGUUGAUACUGCAAAGUUUGUCAAGUAAAGCAAAAGCCUACCCACAAAAAAAAAAAAAAAAAAAAAAAAAGAAAAAAAAAGAAAAAAAGAAAAUAAAUGCAGUUAGAUAUACUUUCAUAGCAGUUGGAAGCUGAGACAUUCAGGGAUUGAGAAACUCAUCCUCACCUUCACCUUUGAAGUCUGUCCUUGGUCAGAGAUCAGGAGGUUGGGCUGCAGUCUUCAUUUGGACUAUUUCCCACCCCUCUUUUGCUGCCAAAUCCAGAAACCACACAGGGACUGAUAAGUCAAGAAACUGCCUCUGUCAUGGCCCAGCAGCCUUGUUCUGGAGAGUCUCUUGAUCGUUGAGGGGAGCAGAGAGAGGAAAGAAGCAGCCUGGGCUGACCUUUGAGGAUGUAAUUUGCCAUGCACUGAGGGCAGCUUUUUACAGAUCAGAAGAUCGACAGAAGGGGAAAAUAUUUCAAAAGUCAUCUGGCUUCCUGUUAAAGAACAGUGAAUUGAAACUGUCUAGAGAUAGCUGCUUAGCACAACUUAUAUAAAACUUGCUUAGCAUGAGGAGCUAAAUUUGCUGAAGCCUUAGGCCGCACGUGGGAAAAGUAACGAAGCUUUACCUAGUUUAGUAAAAAAUAGUGCCUCAGAGCUCGUUCAGGCUGGGAAGAUAAGGAAGCCACACGCAGUCUGCGCUCCUGUGUCACCCACUCUGAAAGGGAAGACGUCAAAACAAUUGAAAAAUAAGACCUUGGGAGACAGCCGCCAGACCCAACAAAAACAGAGGUACAACCGUCAUCAGAGACCACAAAAAACAAAAAUAAGGAGAAAAACAGCUUACUUCAGAAUGACAAUGAGACCCAAUGAGGAGCAGGAGACCCCAGACCAAAAAAUUACUAUUGGUCUAACUACCGCAUGAGGGGGGGGAAAUGUAAGUUGAAAAAACUAUAAUUACCCAGGAUUGGUUUAUGUUAGGGUCCCUCUUCAGAGGCACCCAGCUCGAGCUGUAAUUAUGGCAUGUAUGUGAUUAAAAAUUAAAUAUUUAAUUUGUUUUGA